GUGCUCACUUCGGCGGCACAUAUACUAAAAUUGGAACAAUACUGAGAAGUUUAGCACGGCCCCUGCACAAGAAUGACACACAAAUUGAUGAAGCAGUCCAUAUUUAA